rnacentral:rRNA from 1 species
AGCUUGAUGAGUAGGGCGGGACACGUGGUAUCCUGUCUGAAUAUGGGGGGACCAUCCUCCAAGGCUAAAUACUCCUGACUGACCGAUAGUGAACCAGUACCGUGAGGGAAAGGCGAAAAGAACCCCGGCGAGGGGAGUGAAAAAGAACCUGAAACCGUGUACGUACAAGCAGUGGGAGCACGCUUAGGCGUGUGACUGCGUACCUUUUGUAUAAUGGGUCAGCGACUUAUAUUCUGUAGCAAGGUUAACCGAAUAGGGGAGCCGAAGGGAAACCGAGUCUUAACUGGGCGUUAAGUUGCAGGGUAUAGACCCGAAACCCGGUGAUCUAGCCAUGGGCAGGUUGAAGGUUGGGUAACACUAACUGGAGGACCGAACCGACUAAUGUUGAAAAAUUAGCGGAUGACUUGUGGCUGGGGGUGAAAGGCCAAUCAAACCGGGAGAUAGCUGGUUCUCCCCGAAAGCUAUUUAGGUAGCGCCUCGUGAAUUCAUCUCCGGGGGUAGAGCACUGUUUCGGCA